rnacentral:pre_miRNA from 1 species
UUGACAAAGUAUGGAGUUGGAACGCUUGCCUACGUUUGCCGCUAGGGGCGCUGUUCCAACUGCAUACUUUGGGUUA